GGGCAUGACCUGGGAAAGCCUGAAAGAUUUCUGAUGGACCACAUCAAGGUGUAAGGGCUGCUGAGGCUCAGUUCUGGAGUGAUAACUUUGAAGUGCUGUGAGGAUCCACUGGAUUUUGGCACCAAUCCUGGGGAUGUGUUGGCAUCUUCACUCUACCCUCCUUCCCCAGGGUGAUAUUUGUCAGGGACCUCUCCAUGGUUUCAAACCAGGUCCAGAACUGGACACACCAUCCUGCACACCACAUUUAGAGGCUGGAACUGAUGCAAAGAAAGAGGUGACAAAAAGAAAGUGAGCAGGGAGCAGGAAGAUGCUGUUGAAGUGCUGUUUAGGUUGGGGCACAAGCUAAAGGAGCUGGGACACCCUGAGCAAGGUUGGACGUUCCCAGGGAUGCUCCCCUGGAUUCCAGCAGCCCUUGGUCCCAGGGGAAAGUCUUCUCUGAGCUGAUGGGGAGCACAGACACCCACCUUGGAGCUGAGUGAGUGCAGUGGGAAAGGAACAAGUCCAUUUGGUUCAGGGUGCAUCCCCACCCGAGGCAGCAGGUGUCUGGGACAGGAGCAGCCAGCACUGGGGUCUGCUGGGCAAUGUCUGGGUGUCAGGGAGGGGCAAAUCCAAGAGGGAAAAUUCAGAGGGUGACAGCAACCAGGGUGUCAGGUCCCAGGGACAACUGCUCUGAAGUGUGUAAAGAUAUUUGUGCCACCUAUAAAUAAAUUCUUGGAGGGGGUUCA
rnacentral:lncRNA from 1 species